CCGGUGGGUGUUGGGGUUGGGGUCACCGUAGUGGUGGUGGUGAUGGGUGUCGAUGUUGGGGUCUGUGUGCCGGUGGGUGUUGGGGUUGGGGUCACCGUGGUGGUGGUGCUGAUGGGUGUCGUUGUUGGGGUCUGUGUGCCGGUGGGUGUUGGGGUUGGGGUCACCGUAGUGGUGGUGCUGAUGGGUGUCGAUGUUGGGGUCUGUGUGCCGGUGGGUGUUGGGGUUGGG
rnacentral:lncRNA from 1 species